AUGGAGCUUCAAACACUUAAAUUAACUAUGUAAAAUUAUAAUCCCACGGGAGAAAUCAUUUAUACAAUAUUCCUAAUUUAACUGUUUUUGGUUGGGGUGACCGAGGGGGAAAGAAAAUCCCCCCCAUCGAUUGAGUACUCAGUACUUAAAAGUUAGAACGACAGUUCUAAUCAAUAAAACAUUUACCGAAAAAUGACCCAGAAUUUUUUCUGAUCAAUGAACCA
rnacentral:rRNA from 1 species